AUUGAACGCUGGCGGCAGGCUUAACACAUGCAAGUCGAGCGAGCGGCGGACGGGUGAGUAAUGUCUGGGGAACUGCCUGAUAGAGGGGGAUAACUACUGGAAACGGUAGCUAAUACCGCAUACCAUCAGAUGUGCCCAGAUGGGAUUAUCUAGUAGGUGGGGUAAUGGCUCACCUAGGCGAUGAUCCCUAGCUGGUCUGAGAGGAUGACCAGCCACGCUGGAACUGAGACACGGUCCAGAAGCAUACGGGAGGCAGCAGUGGGGAAUAUUGCAGAAUGGGCGCAAGCCUGAUGCAGCCAUGCCGCGUGUGUGAAGAAGGCCUUAGGGUUGUAAAGCACUUUCAGCGAGGAGGCGUUACUCGCAGAAGAAGCACCGGCUAACUCCGUGCCAGCAGCCGCGGUAAUUC
rnacentral:rRNA from 1 species